AACGAACGCUGGCGGCAGGCCUAACACAUGCAAGUCGAGCGAAGCCUUCGGGCUUAGCGGCGGACGGGUGAGUAACGCGUGGGAACGUGCCCUUUGGUACGGAAUAGCCCCGGGAAACUGGGAGUAAUACCGUAUGUGCCCUUCGGGGGAAAGAUUUAUCGGCAAAGGAUCGGCCCGCGUUGGAUUAGGUAGUUGGUGGGGUAAUGGCCUACCAAGCCGACGAUCCAUAGCUGGUUUGAGAGGAUGAUCAGCCACACUGGGACUGAGACACGGCCCAGACUCCUACGGGAGGCAGCAGUGGGGAAUCUUAGACAAUGGGGGAAACCCUGAUCUAGCCAUGCCGCGUGAGCGAUGAAGGCCUUAGGGUUGUAAAGCUCUUUCAGUGGGAAGAUAAUGACGGUACCCACAGAAGAAGCCCCGGCUAACUCCGUGCCAGCAGCCGCAGUAAUAC
rnacentral:rRNA from 1 species